rnacentral:rRNA from 1 species
GAUGAACGCUAGCGGCAGGCCUAAUACAUGCAAGUCGAACGCGGGGUAGCAAUACCUCGAGUGGCGCACGGGUGCGUAACGCGUAACCAACCUGCCCUUGACUGGGGGAUAGCCCGCCGAAAGGCGGAUUAAUACCGCAUAAACCAGCAGCCUGGCAUCAGGCAACUGGUAAAGAUUUAUUGGUCAAGGAUGGGGUUGCGUGACAUUAGCUAGUUGGCGGGGUAACGGCCCACCAAGGCGACGAUGUCUAGGGGACCUGAGAGGGUGAUCCCCCACACUGGCACUGAGAUACGGGCCAGACUCCUACGGGAGGCAGCAGUAGGGAAUAUUGGGCAAUGGGCGAGAGCCUGACCCAGCCAUGCCGCGUGCCGGACGAAGGCCUUCUGGGUUGUAAACGGCUUUUCUCAGGGAAGAAAAAGGGCAUGCGUACCACACUGACGGUACCUGAGGAAUAAGCACCGGCUAACUCCGUGCCAGCCGCCGCAGUAA